rnacentral:rRNA from 1 species
AACGCGAAGAACCUUACCUGGGUUAAAUCCCAGUUGCAAGCCUCAGAGAUGAGGCCCCCUCGCAAGAGGCGGCUGGGAAGGUGCUGCAUGGCUGUCGUCAGCUCGUGUCGUGAGAUGUUGGGUUAAGUCCCGCAACGAGCGCAACCCUUACCACUAGUUGCCAGCAUUUAGUUGGGCACUCUAGCGGAACUGCCGGUGAUAAACCGGAGGAAGGUGGGGAUGACGUCAAGUCAUCAUGGCCUCUAUGUCCAGGGCUACACACGUGCUACAAUGGCCGGUACAAACCGCUGCGAACUCGCGAGAGGGAGCCAAUCGGAAAAAGCCGGUCUCAGUUCGGAUUGGAGUCUGCAACUCGACUCCAUGAAGUUGGAAUCGCUAGUAAUCGCAGAUCAGCACGCUGCGGUGAAUACGUUCCCGGGUCUUGUACACACCG